rnacentral:rRNA from 1 species
GUGAGUCAUCGAGUCUUUGAACGCACAUUGCACCCUCUGGCAUUCCGGAGGGUAUGCCUGUUUGAGUGUCAUUAAUAUCUCAACGCAAGAAACUUUGCUUCUUGUGCUUGGACAUUGAAGGCUUUGCUGGCACAAAUAACUGUCAGCUCCUUUUAAAUGUAUUAGCAGAGUCAGUGUAGGACUGGCUUCGGUUUGAUAAGAAAGUUAUCUAUGUCUGUCGCUGGGCUUCCUCUUUGUGUUCAGCUUCCGAAUUGUUCUUUGGAUGCUGCCUCUUGAGGCAACGAAAUUUCAUUGAUCGACCUCUAAAUCAGGUAGGACUACCCGCUGAACUUAAGCAUAUCAAUAAGCGGAGG